UACAGAGGGGGCAAGCGUUGUUCGGAAUUACUGGGCGUAAAGGGCGCGUAGGCGGUUCGUUAAGUCCUGUGUGAAAUCCCCCGGCUCAACUGGGGAACUGCACAGGAAACUAGCGGGCUUGAGUUCGGGAGAGGGAAGCGGAAUUCCGGGUGUAGCGGUGAAAUGCGUAGAUAUCAGGAAGAACACCCGUGGCGAAAGCGGCUCUCUGGAACGGUACUGACGCUGAGACGCGAAAGCGUGGGGAGCGAACAGG
rnacentral:rRNA from 1 species